ACAUAUGAGUGCCAAUAAUUUGUAGGAAUUGUUUUCAUUAUUACACUAGUUUUAAAGCUUUAUUUCCACUUCUGUCUACACUGUAACAGUGGAGAAUACUCCUUUAUGUACACAAAAUAUGUGUCAUUGAUUCUAGUAUGUGCUGAGGGCAAGGUCUACAAAAGUUUUGUAUGUCUUGUUUGGGUGUGAAACAUCUAAAUCCAAAACUGAGACACACAGUUUUUUUGAAAAGCCUUUUUAGUGUGAACCCAGUUGUUUCUCUAGGAUCUCUACGUAUCUUCUUAGUUCAGUAAGCCUCCUUACAGCAGAAUAUUUUGCUGCUGAGCAGAAAAAACAAAAGCGGUUUUGAUACUUGUACCUCUAUCCCAGCCAGAUACCUAUGUUGGUCAUUUACCUGGUUUACUUGCAGGGAUUUUUUGGCAGGUAUUUGACUUGCUCACUCUUGUUUGGCAGGUUACGGUGGAGUUGUUUAGAGUCUGGUGGUGGUGAGCUUUCUGCUGAAGUUUGGGAGAGAACUGGAGAAAGCAAGAAGGCCACCCUAUCCUUGCUGUACUGGCCUUUUCUGUCCUCCCGAGGCAGCUCUUUGUGGAUCAGGGGACAGGUGGGAAAGAGAAAAAAGAAGCUGAAGUCACAGGAUAAAGAGGAAAGAGACCAGAUGGGGAAGAAUUUCAGCGCAGCCACUUCCUGUUUAGCACAGCUGGAAGUACAGCUCCAUCCAAUGGCUCAAACUGCUCGUCUGAGUACCUGAUGAAGGAACAUGCUCCUCCCCUUUAUCUUCCACUCAAGGUUGAAAAUGGAACUCUAAUUAUGAGAAUGUAUCUAUUAUCAUGUGAGAAGACUGAAUAGCAAAGAAGAACAGAAAGAAAAUCCUGUCACAGAGACUGUGUAAUUGAAAUUGAAUUUGCUAAACAGAAUGAAACUGAGCUUAGUAAAUAAACAUCUUGUACUUCAAGCAGUACUUUUUGAUAAGAAAAUAAUACAAUACUUCCUGUUCACUUAUAAAAACCUCUUCAAUUUUGUUUUCUUAAAUCACGUUAAAAGGGAAACCCAAGAGCAGCUAAAAAGUGCAAAUAAUAAAGUACUAAGGAGAAUUGAAAGUUGUUAGAAUAUACAGUAGCUGCCAUAGGGCUGUUCUUUGGUCAUACAUAUGCAGGGAAGAAAUAAUCAUGAAGAAGAAAUUAGGAUAAUACAUCAGGACCUGUCAUUUCAGGCACAUUCCACCUGAUCAACUGAAUUCAGUAAGUACAGUAAUUUGUUCUGUCUGUUAAGUUUUACUGGAGAGACAGAACUAUUAUUUUUUAUGUAAUACAGAAUAUUUGAUGGAACAGUAUCUCACUAUCUCAUUAAAAUUCUUCAUUGAUAAGCUAAAAGCUAACAACACCUCAGCCACCUGGUACUUYGGCAAAUUUGUACAGCUGGGUGGAUGGUCUGAGUAACCAUGAAAACACUGGAAUUGGCAUAAAAAAGGGAAGAAUUUGCUGGAAAGCAAUAAUUGGAUGAGGCUUACUCAUGAUCAUACACUUAAUAUUGAUUCAAGAAAAGAAAAAGUAAGUUUAUUUCAUGCAGUCUCUGCCAUGUGCUGUCAUAUACUCACAGCAGUAUAUGAAGUGGGCUACCCUAGAAAAAGUAGUUUGAGGCUCUGUCAUUAAAACUGUAUUAUGAGAGUUGCAUGGAGGGUUUAAAUUAAGGUUCAAAAUGCAAGCUUAGUUCUGUAAUCUUCUAAUUUUUUAAUUAUUUUGGAAUAUGCACCUUUAAAAAUCACCCUUAAAUUUAUGAAGAAAAAAGAAGUGAAAAUACUGUAAUCUAAAAUAUUCUUGCCUCAGUUUUGAAUUUUAUAGUGUAUUCAUUGAAAACAAUUAUUUUGUAAAGAAAUGGGCCUUCACUCCAUCUUUUUAUUCAGUAUAUUAUUCAUUGUGUUGUUACUACAAACUCAUGUAUUAAGUUUUUAGGUUAUGAAUGGAAGACUCAUUUGACUCACAGUCAAAUAGGCAAAUUUCAAAUUAUUAAUGACAAUAUAUUUUGUUGUUACUAUGGAAAUACAGGUUGUGGUUCUAAUAAGGUCUGGUUUGAGUUUUAUAUUUAAAUAAUGUUGUGUUGUUAUUUGUUAUCAUCAAAUAAUGAAUGAUUGUUAUGAGUACACAUGAAAUGCUCCAAAUUUUAAAGCAAAUUGGAUAGUUUACAAAUAAACCAGUGCUCUAAGAGACGUCACACUGCCUUGCUUUCAGUACUGUCACUUGAAAACAUACAAACUCCUUUAACUUCACACUUUAUCCCAUUGUGACAAGGUUAGUUUUUCCCCCACUUUUGGUCAUGUCUGUGGAGUUUCUCUGGAAUUAGAAAAUGCAGAAGGAUAGUUAUGACAGUCUGAGGCUAUGUCCCUGAAGAAUAUGUCCCUUGCAGAGGCAACAGCUAAAAGAGAUACACAUUCAUCAUUGACAUACUGUCCUUUUUAGAUAAUUAUCAUGUUCAUUUUCUGUAGUAUUCUGGCCAUAUUCCUGUUUGAGAAUAAGUAUCAUUCAUCUUACAAAGAAUUCACCUAAUUAAAACAGAAUGAGUAAGGCUGCACUGUCAAAUGUAACAAAUCAGAUGGCAGCUGUAUUUAAAAAACCUGUUCAGAACAUGCUAGAAGAUGAUCUGUUGUGGUAGCUCACCAGACAUCUCUCUUCAGCUAGUCACUAGCUAGAGACAUUUGAAAGAAAGAACACAGUUUUGAAACACCAAACAAAAGAAUGCUGUAGUUUAUGUGCUUUUCCUUUCUCAUUAAAGCUCAUGGGCUAUCUCUUUCCUGUGCAUGUUUCCCUCCAGUUCCUCAUUACGGUUAAUGAGGAACUCCAACCUACUCUUCAGAUGUAUUUACUUCGAAUUUGACAUGACUUGCUGAACCCUUAAGGAUCUUGGGAAGUAAUUUCCCAUCCCUGUUUACUCUCAUGACAAGAUGACUGGAUGAGACCUUACCCUUUCAGAUUUUAUAGUUUUGAUAAGAGUUCUGUGAAAUAGAGUUACAAUUUUGUAUUCUAGAUCUUUCAAAACUUCAGACUUUAAAUCACAAAUGAGCAAAGGAAGAAUCAAAUCUACAUGCAUGAAGACUGCAUAAUARAUGGCUCUUUUGCAGAGGAUACGGGAUUGAUAAAAUACACCUUAACAGGCCUCACCAGCAAAGGAGGCUUUUUCCAUCAUCAAAGUGCAAAUACUUACAACAUAAUGGAAACCAGAGGGGGAAAAAAUAAACUAUUGCAAAUGUGAUUUGUGUGUCUGUAAAUAAGAUUGAAUAAAAGUCAAAAAGCACAAGAUGACUAAUUCCCAAAGAUCCACAUCAUCAAAGCCAACAAGAGACGUGAGGUACCUCCAGUGAAAAUGUACAGAUCAAUCAUGUCACGUUAGGCCACAGUGCUAUACCACAGCCACACUGAUAGUGAACCAGGCUCCACAGGAAAAGCAGUACUACUCAAACCCCUCAGAUCCUGUCAAGAUGAAAAGUUAAGAUAUGAAGCAGCACUGAUGAACCAAGUCCCAGCCUACACUAUAUAUGAUGCAUAUAAUGCACAGCAACUGUGCCUAGAGUAGAACCUUCAGAUACUCUGUAAACAGAU